UAAAGAUACUCCCGUCCAGUCUAAUGUCCGAGCGUUGAAGCGUCGAUAGGGUUCCCACAAAGUCGCAUGACUUUGUGGGAAGAGGAGGAGCGACGAAAUGAGUGAGAUUUUCGCCUUUAGGCGGAAACGAACAAAUGAAGUCAGCUCCGACGACGUGAGCCGUCGCAGGCAAUGGGGGCGGUUGCGUGAGAACCACGCGAGGGUGAGAUUCCCGUG
rnacentral:ncRNA from 1 species